AACAUUGACUUACGCGGCUUACCUCCCUUGCUUAUGACGUCAGUAAGACCCAAUCGCCUUAUAAAGCUAUGUUGUGAAUACAAAUAUCCAUGUCAUUUUGCAGCAUUUUAAAAGAAAAAAAAUACUAUUUUAUAUAAAAACUUGUAUAAUUAUACAAUAAUCAACCACGUCAGUAUUUUUUCUCUCAAGAAAUGAAAUCGUGUGCGUUUUUAUUUACAUGUAAUAGCGUGUACAUAAUGAUAUUCAGUUUCGAGACUGCAGGGAGAAUAAAUGAUUUUCUUCAUAGAUCCACAUGCAAGUAUAAUAUAAUUUUAAUAUAAGCAUAUUUAUAUGUUUUAUUUUGAUCUUUUUAAUGAAAUUGACAAAUUCAAAAAUAAGUCUGAUCGUUUUUUCCCAUUUGCAUGUUCAUGCAAUUCAUUAAGAUUUUUUUUCUAUAAACAACUUGUAGGCCUCAUUGUGCCUCAUUCGCUUCACGAUUAUAUUGUUUGUUUCACUUUCAAAUUCACAAAUAUGUUACCAUUUAAUUAUUUUUAGUCUAAGAGAAAUUUCUUCAAAUGUUUUGUUUUUGAAACGUGUACUUGAAUGUGCGGUGUUUUGAUUUUAAAACGUGUAUGUGCGGUGUUUACUCACAGAUCCCUUUUAUCUCACUUUCUUCCGCAAUGUUUUCUUUCGGUUUUUUUAUCAUUAUUGAUGCUUGUUCUUAAUAAAAUCUGUUGAUUAUCUU
rnacentral:sRNA from 1 species